ACUAAUGCCGGUAAAGACUUUAAC
rnacentral:miRNA from 1 species